UACGAAGGGUGCGAGCGUUAAUCGGAAUUACUGGGCGUAAAGGGGUGCGCAGGCGGUUCUGCAAGUCAGGCGUGAAAGCCCCGGGCUUAACCUGGGAAUGGCGCUUGAAACUACAGGACUGGAGUAUGGCAGAGGGGAGGUGGAAUUCCACGUGUAGCGGUGAAAUGCGUAGAGAUGUGGAGGAACACCGAUGGCGAAGGCAGCCCCCUGGGCUAACACUGACGCUCAUGCACGAAAGCGUGGGGAGCAAACAGG
rnacentral:rRNA from 1 species